rnacentral:rRNA from 1 species
GAGUUUGAUCCUGGCUCAGAACGAACGCUGGCGGCGUGCCUAACACAUGCAAGUCGUGCGAGAAAGCCUCCUUCGGGGGGUUAGUAAAGCGGCGCACGGGUGAGUAACACGUGGGCAACCUGCCCUUGAGACUGGGACAACCCAGGGAAACCCGGGCUAAUACCAGAUACGGCCUUGGGAUCUUCGGAUCCCUUGGAGAAAUGAUGGCCUCUGCUUGCAAGCCAUCGCUCGAGGAUGGGCCCGCGGCCCAUUAGCUAGUUGGUGAGGUAACGGCUCACCAAGGCAAUGAUGGGUAGCUGGUCUGAGAGGAUGAUCAGCCACACUGGGACUGAGACACGGCCCAGACUCCUACGGGAGGCAGCAGUGGGGAAUUUUGGGCAAUGGGCGAAAGCCUGACCCAGCAACGCCGCGUGCAGGAUGAAGGCCCUCGGGUCGUAAACUGCUGUCGGGAGGGAAGAACAGCAGCGGAGGGAAUAUCUCCGUUGCCUGACGGUACCUCCAAAGGAAGCGCCGGCUAACUCCGUGCCAGCAGCCGCGGUAAUACGGAGGGCGCAAGCGUUGUUCGGAAUUACUGGGCGUAAAGCGCGUGUAGGCGGUUGGGUAAGUCGAAUGUGAAAGCCCCGGGCUCAACCCGGGAAGUGCAUC